AUAAAAUAGACACAAUAUACAAAUAAUUCUGUCAUUUAUUUAUUUUGAAUAAAAAAUUGGCCAAAAUAACAAUACUAGUGGCUCUGCAUACAAAACACAACAUAUUCGAGGUUAUUUCACAUUUACAAAACUGCCAUUAUGUACAGCACUAGAUAUUCACAGCAACUUUAUUAGACUCUAAGUACUAGAAUCAUAUGAGCAAUUGGGGGGGAUCCAAAAUGAGAAAAAGCUCAAAACCAGUGGUUUUCCUUCAUGGAUAAAUGGCCAACCAGCUAAUUGGUAAAGAAACAGAGGAUGUUACCCUUUUCUUUAGUAAUAACUAAAAUAAGAUUGCCCCACAGGGUUGUAUACCGACAAACAACCACCCUCCCAAAAUUUCCAUUUCAUUUGCUCUGUAAUCUUCCCCACUUCAAACUUUUCCCAGAAACCUCAGCCCUAGUAUCAGAUAAAAGCUCAGAGCACUAGUACAUUGUCUUCAGGAAAAGGUUAAGUAGUGCUAAGGAUACGGCAUGGUCUGGUUCAACCCAUGAAAACCAGUUCAAACCCAGGAAAGAACUCUGCCCUCUUCUGGCAUUAGUGGCUUUGUAGCAUUGAACACACUGGAAAAGUGAACCAUGUUUCAUCCUGAAGGAGGCAGGAAGUCACUCGCUCAUUCUACACGUCAUGAGCACCUACCCUGUGCAAGACACUUUGCAUUAGGUGCUGUGGCAACAACAAAGAUGAAACAAUUCCUGCCCUUGAGGAGCUUACAAUCUAAUGAUGAACACUAUGUACAUACAUACAAUGGAGAGAAACAGCCAAUAUUUCUGGAUUGGGGGUAUUCCAAGCAAAAUGUAUUAUUCAUAAAGCUUUAAAUUUAAACACUAAAAGCCUAAAACGAACUAAGAAUUUAAAAAACAACUCCUUUCUAUAACCUUAAGUUUUUAGAUGUCUGCUCUUUUUAUUUAAAAAAUGUCAUAUGUAAACAUACAUAUAAUUCAAAGCCAAGCACAAAGAUUAGCAUUGGAUAAACAUAAAAUGUAUAUCACUAUACACAACACAGACAUUUUCCUAUAGUCUUAUUUCUGGUUUUUGGGUUUUUAUUAUUUUUUUUGUGUGUGACUGGCUAGUACAGGGAACUGAACCCUUGACCUCAGUGUUACAAAGCUGUGCUCUAACUAAGUGAGCUAACCAGCCGGCCCAUCAUAUUUCUAUAUAAACAAGUUUGAUAUUUACUUUCCUUUCAUGCAAAGUACAAAUCUGAAUCAAAGCCUUGAAAUACCUUAAUUCUUAGGACAAUUGCAUUUAAUUUUGUAUUAGUACCAAAUGUGAGAGAAAGAGAGUGAGAAAGCGAGAGACCCCUAAACCCUACCAGUCUGUUCGCUGAGUGUACACUGACAAAGUAGGAAAGGCCCCCAUGCCGUCACUAUGUCUUACACUGUCCAAUCCAACCAUGUUCCAGGAUAUUUUUCUUUAUGGAUUUCAUGAUGGUGAGGUAAGCAACUUUAACAUUAACAGUAAAUACAAGAUUUAGAGUUCUGAAAUUUAAUUCUACCCAACCCACUAGUAGAAUUUCGUUUAGUCCAUACCUUUAUUAUUUCGGUAUGAGAGUAUGAUCUUUCCCUUUUUUCAACUCUUCUCAAGCCUAGAAUGAAUAAAUAAGCUCUUAGACCAUGUUGGUAAAUGAUACAAUAUUGUUCUAAAUAAACUCACUGACUAGGACCCCAGGUUUUAUACUAAGUCUCUCCCCUAUAGUUAUGACUCAAAGAAAAUGCAAGAUAAGAAAAGCUGAACCACUUAAUCAAAUAAAGUGGUUGGGAGAGAAAUACUGAUAUACUGAAAGAAUUAAUCUCUUUAUAGGACAACUUAUAAUCAGUCUUCUGUUAAAUUUCAUUUCUACACCAAGUUUUCAGAAACAGCACCAUCUUAAAAUCAUCUAUGCAGACAAGAGGCUGCAUUCUAUCUACAAGACACAGCCUAGCUAACAAGUCCUGAACUGAUUUAUACCUGUGCCGUGGAAAUGAAUUCACAAUCUUCCAGAAGGCCUUGCUGCUUCAUCAGGAUAGUGAUGCUAUAGUGCUUUAGAUAAUUAGAAGCAACUCUGUAUUUGAGUUUGGCUUAGUUCCAUUUAAGGACAGUCAAAUUUCACAUGCACUAUCUUUAAGUUAUAUAGCAGAUACCAUGUUAGCGGACAUGAAGGAGAUUUUAACUUCUAAAACCUCUUUUAGCUUCAAGAAAGAGCAGUUCAAAGUCUAAUAACCAUGAGAGCCUUGAGACAGUCUAAAAUUGAGGCUGCUAGUUGAUACUUUCACUAAUAACUAAAACGAAAAGAAUUCAUUUCAGUUAGAUUUUUUGAGGCAUUUUUAAAAUCUGACAAGCUUGAAAGGAAAGGUGAGAUGCUUGAGACGCUCCCUAGUCUCUCUGAAUUGCUGAACUCCACCAACACACAGGAGAGAGUGUAAGUGCAUCAAGAUACAUCACAAUGCAUUAUAGAAGCCAAGCAGAGACUCAGAACAGUCCAUGGUAGGCUCACUGUAGAGAUGCAUUUAUCUGUCUGGCUGUUUACUCCUUGUACUGACUUUGCGUGUAACCCAUUCCUUUUGGCUUUAACCAGAUUUUUUUGCUUGUGAAGAAUAAUACUGGCUGGGAAGGAGGUCAGGGAGGACAGGGUGUGGCAAGGAGCUAAAAAUCUCACCUCCCUUAGCACAGUCAAGAGUUACUGAGCAUCCUGACAUGAACAUUAUAAUUAUGAGCUUUGAAAAAAACAACAAAAACAAAACAGAUACAACUUACCAAGUUGUUAACUAUAUUACCUUUAGAAAGAAAUACGACUAUUUCACAGUUUCUUCUAGGGAGACCCACUACACGAAUUAGCUUUUAGAAAUUUUACCACUAAUCCAUUUUUCUUUCAAACAUGAAAUCUGUUAGCUCUGAACAUGUCAUAUAGCUGAGAAAACUAAAGGAGUGGAAAUCAAAAGGGCCUCUUUGAGAAGAAAGAGCAAGAGAGAGGUCACGAGCAGAAAGGGAUAAGAUAGGCCCUAUGGAAAUCAACCACUGACACAAAUUCCUGGUUUCAUUCCAGGAAUUGUAGCAAUUCACCAAAUUCUGAGGCAGUUUGCUGCAAGGGAGCAGGUGUUCAUAAAACCAAUAUUGUAAUCCUCUUAACAAGCACUGAUAUGCAUCAGUUUCUUUUGUGUCUUAUCUGAUACCAUUACAACAGAAUAUAUUUUAAUAUUUAAUUACCUUUUAACAUUCUUUUAACCUAAUUAACCUGUUAAAUUUGCUAAUAGGCCCAACCUACAUACUUCAACGUUAACAUUCUCAGAAACUUCUUAGAAAAGCAGAAAAAUGACACAAACAAGAGCUCCACUGGUGGUUCUAAUAACCUCUGACAUUGAAAAAUAAUUGGUAGUUUUGGCAGAUGUAAUAGGUAGAUGCUUGAAGUCUGGGGGGUGGACACAUGAGGAUUUCAGAAUGAAUAUCAAGCAUAACAAGCUAUCGAUUUCUUAUCUAGAAUAAUAGUAACAAAUUAACCCCAGGCAGAGAAAAUGGGAUACAUAUGUGACUAUCAGACUCCUAAAAUGCAACAGUGUUAUAGCUUAAGAGGUCUAAUUGUAUCGAAUCUUUGCUCCUGCACUAAAUGCAGUACAGUAACAUCACUUCUAUUUCUCCUAUUCCUGAAAGUUAUUACAGUUACAGCUGAAACCAACUUGAAAUCUACCAAACAGAUCAGGCAAAUUUUAGGAAGGUAUAGUGUAUAAGCUUAAACUAGAAGAAGCAAUUAGAAGAUUCCUGGUGCCACUCCCACUUUUCCAAGGCUUCACUGACCAACGCACUAUCAUCAGGUAUGCUGACCUUUAAAGAAAUUCAGAAGCACACUCUUUGUGUGGCUAACUUUAACUCAGAAUCUCCUCUCAAGGGAUUGACCUCCAUGGAUGGGGGGAGAGGGGUUAGGGAAGGAAGGUCUCCCAACUGGGUGUGUAGAAACGCAGCUGAGAGGUGCUGGCUGUAUUUCAGUCUUAACGAAUGCCACUGGGCCAAGCCACAGCAGAGAGAAUCCAUGUUCAAGUAAAGUAUUUGCCAUGUUUGCCCCUAUAGAGACAUAUGAAAAUACUUUGGGAGAUCCUUUUUAGUUUCUCCUAAUAGCUAGUUUUUCUCAAAAAUGCACAACUGCUAUAAAUAAAGACUUAAUGUAAGGUUUAAAUGGCAGCAGCACAAAAUUCCCCAAUAACAACGAAUCUUUACUGACUGAUUAGGAACAAAAAAGUGAAACUAAGCAUGCCAUGAUUACUAAAAAUGCAAUAAUUCCUUGACAUGAUCUCAAUUUUUACUGUCAUUUAUUGUAAAAUGAAACAGCUGCAGGCACAAAUGACUUCAACUAAUACAACAUUCUCAAUUGUGUUAUUCAUGAUUUCAAUGCUGCCUGGUUCUUUCUUGAAAAUCAAUUUAACAUGCGGACCCUGAAGUCUAGAUAAACACUAUUCUUGAAAUUAUCACCAAAAUGAGAAAAAUAA